rnacentral:rRNA from 1 species
CUUGAGUAACUAUAAGAGGUCCAGCCUGCCCAGUGACUUUGUUCAACGGCCGCGGUAUCCUAACCGUGCGAAGGUAGCGUAAUCACUUGUCUUUUAAAUGGGGACUUGUAUGAACGGCAUCACGAGGGUUAUACUGUCUCCUUUUUCUAAUCAGUGAAACUAAUCUUCCCGUGAAGAAGCGGGAAUAAACAUAUAAGACGAGAAGACCCUAUGGAGCUUUAAACUCAAUAACAAAUACUGACCUUACAUUAACUUUCAGAAGAUUCACCUUAAUUUUAGUAUUAUGAUUAUUAGUUUUAGGUUGGGGUGACCGCGGAGUAAAAAUUAACCUCCACAUUGAACGGGACCUAUCCCUGAGCCAAGAACUACAGCUCAAAGCACCAACAAAUUGACAUUAAUUGACCCAAUAUUUUGAUCAACGAAC